GACGGAGGGUGCUAGCGUUGUCCGGAAUCACUGGGCGUAAAGGGCGCGCAGGCGGCCCCGCCCGUCGGGCGUGAAAGCCCGGGGCUCAACCCCGGAACGGCGCCCGAGACGGCGGGGCUGGAGACCGGGAGAGGAGGGUGGAAUAGCCAGUGUAGAGGUGAAAUUCGUAGAUAUUGGCUGGAACACCGGUGGCGAAAGCGGCUCUCUGGCCCGGGUCCGACGCUGAGGCGCGAAAGCGUGGGGAGCAAACAGG
rnacentral:rRNA from 1 species